rnacentral:rRNA from 1 species
GAUGAACGCUAGCGGCAGGCUUAAUACAUGCAAGUCGUGGGGCAGCAUGAAUGUAGCAAUACAUUUGAUGGCGACCGGCAAACGGGUGCGGAACACGUACACAACCUUCCUAUAAGUGGGGAAUAGCCCAGAGAAAUUUGGAUUAAUACCCCGUAACAUAACGAUGUGGCAUCACAUUGUUAUUAUAGCUUCGGCGCUUGUUGAUGGGUGUGCGGCUGAUUAGAUAGUUGGCGGGGUAACGGCCCACCAAGUCUACGAUCAGUAGCUGAUGUGAGAGCAUGAUCAGCCAAACGGGCACUGAGACACGGGCCCGACUCCUACGGGAGGCAGCAGUAAGGAAUAUUGGACAAUGGACGCAAGUCUGAUCCAGCCAUGCCGCGUGAAGGAUUAAGGUCCUCUGGAUUGUAAACUUCUUUUAUAAGGGACGAAAAAAGGUCUUUCUAGAUCGUCUGACGGUACCUUAUGAAUAAGCACCGGCUAACUCCGUGCCAGCCGCCGCGGUAAUAC